GCGCCCGUAGCUCAAGCGGAUAGAGCACCGGCCUUCUAAGCCGGUGGUUGCAGGUUCGAGUCCUGCCGGGCGCGCCA
rnacentral:tRNA from 1 species